GUGUCAGCAGCCGCGGUAAUACAGAGGGUGCGAGCGUUAAUCGGAUUUACCGGGCGUAAAGCGUGCGUAGGCGGCUUAUUAAGUCGGAUGUGAAAUCUCUGAGCUUAACUCGGGAAUUGCAUUCGAUACUGGUGAGCUAGAGUAUGGGAGAGGAUGGUAGAAUUCCAGGUGUAGCGGUGAAAUGCGUAGAGAUCUGGAGGAAUACCGAUGGCGAAGGCAGCCAUCUGGCCUAAUACUGACGCUGAGGUACGAAAGCAUGGGGAGCAAACAGGAUUAGAUACCCCGGUAGUCC
rnacentral:rRNA from 1 species